UAGGGAAUCUUCCGCAAUGGACGAAAGUCUGACGGAGCAACGCCGCGUGAGCGAAGAAGGUCUUCGGAUCGUAAAGCUCUGUUGUUAGGGAAGAACAAGUACCGGAGUAACUGACGGUACCUUGACGGUACCUAACCAGAAAGCCACGGCUAACUACGUGCCAGCAGCCGCGGUAAUACGUAGGUGGCAAGCGUUGUCCGGAAUCAUUGGGCGUAAAGCGCGCGCAGGCGGUCCUUUAAGUCUGAUGUGAAAUCUUGCGGCUCAACCGUAAGCGGUCAUUGGAAACUGGGGGACUUGAGUGCAGGAGAGGAAAGCGGAAUUCCAUGUGUAGCGGUGAAAUGCGUAGAGAUAUGGAGGAACACCAGUGGCGAAGGCGGCUUUCUGGCCUGUAACUGACGCUGAGGCGCGAAAGCGUGGGGAGCAAACA
rnacentral:rRNA from 1 species